rnacentral:rRNA from 1 species
UGCAGUCGAGCGACAGAUAGGAGCUUGCUUCCUUUGACGUUAGCGGCGGACGGGUGAGUAACACGUGGAUAACCUACCUAUAAGACUUGGGAUAACUUCGGGAAACCGGAGCUAAUACCGGAUAACAUAUUGAACCGCAUGGUUCAAUAGUGAAAGGCGGCUUUGCUGUCACUUAUAGAUGGAUCCGCGCCGUAUUAGCUAGUUGGUAAGGUAACGGCUUACCAAGGCAACGAUACGUAGCCGACCUGAGAGGGUGAUCGGCCACACUGGAACUGAGACACGGUCCAGACUCCUACGGGAGGCAGCAGUAGGGAAUCUUCCGCAAUGGGCGAAAGCCUGACGGAGCAACGCCGCGUGAGUGAUGAAGGUCUUCGGAUCGUAAAACUCUGUUAUCAGGGAAGAACAAAUGUGUAAGUAACUGUGCACAUCUUGACGGUACCUGAUCAGAAAGCCACGGCUAACUACGUGCCAGCAGCCGCGGUAAUACGUAGGUGGCAAGCGUUAU